rnacentral:rRNA from 1 species
GACGAACGCUGGCGGCGUGCUUAACACAUGCAAGUCGAACGGAAAGGCCCUGCUUUUGUGGGGUGCUCGAGUGGCGAACGGGUGAGUAACACGUGAGUAACCUGCCCUUGACUUUGGGAUAACUUCAGGAAACUGGGGCUAAUACCGGAUAGGAGCUCCUGCUGCAUGGUGGGGGUUGGAACGUUUCGGCGGUUGGGGAUGGACUCGCGGCUUAUCAGCUUGUUGGUGGGGUAGUGGCUUACCAAGGCUUUGACGGGUAGCCGGCCUGAGAGGGUGACCGGCCACAUUGGGACUGAGGUACGGCCCAGAGUCCUACGGGAGGCAGCAGUGGGGAAUAUUGCACAAUGGGCGGAAGCCUGAUGCAGCAACGCCGCGUGCGGGAUGACGGCCUUCGGGUUGUAAACCGCUUUCGCCUGUGACGAAGCGUGAGUGACGGUAAUGGGUAAAGAAGCACCGGCUAACUACGUG